rnacentral:rRNA from 1 species
UACGGAGGAUCCAAGCGUUAUCCGGAUUUAUUGGGUUUAAAGGGUGCGUAGGCGGCCUAUUAAGUCAGGGGUGAAAGACGGUAGCUUAACUAUCGCAGUGCCUUUGAUACUGAUGGGCUUGAAUGUACUUGAGGUAGGCGGAAUGUGACAAGUAGCGGUGAAAUGCAUAGAUAUGUCACAGAACACCAAUUGCGAAGGCGGCUUACUAAAGUAUGAUUGACGCUGAGGCACGAAAGCGUGGGGAUCAAACAGG